rnacentral:precursor_RNA from 1 species
AGAGUUGCUGCCGCUGCUGUCCUCACACCCGCUCGUGGGAAGCAGCGCCUGUCGCAACUCG